rnacentral:lncRNA from 1 species
UAAUUUUGACACUACAAAUGUACAAACAACACAAACACGUAAACCAAUCAAACAGACAAACAAAACAAAAACGAAUCAAAAGUACAGUGUCCAGUCCAAUUUAUACAGUCCAAAUAUAAAAAAAAUGCAAAAAUAAAUCCUAUCUAACCUACACUAAUCCUAUCUACACUCCCGCACUUUACCCAGUGCCUCGGGCCUUUAUCACAAACGUCUUCCGCCAACAUAAUAUGUUGGGACAUUUUUCGGUGUAUAAAUACAAUGUGUCUCGGGGCAUUCCCCGACUAAAUGAAUACAUCUGAAUUAAAUACUAUAAACUAGAAAGAAAUAUUCACAUGCACAUUCCAACAUUCAACCAAAAUAUCAUUUCUAAAUUUUACCUACCCAAACCUAUUGCCUAUCCAUUUCAACAUAUCAUAACUCAAUCACGUUUCAUAUCAACAAUCAAUCAAACUUAAUUCGAAUCUAACCUUUUCGUCAAUUUUCAAUUCCACCCCCAACUUUCUUUUGAUUAAUCACCAUUAAAUCAUGAUCAAAUUCAUUCCUCCAACGACCAAAGUCGAAUUACCAAACAUCAACAACAUGAAGCAAUUAUAAUCAAUAACGCACAAUCAUAACACCAAUGCACUAAAUAGAAAUAAAAUGAAAAGAGGGAGUCAAAGAAUUGGACCUCAAGUGUCAAUUUUAAUAUCUCGGAGAUAGAACCGCGCCCGAAAACCCAAUUCCGAACCUCGACGGCAAACAAAACGCCAAACUCGAUAUAGAAUUCAACCGGACAAAUUUGAAAAUCUAUAUGAACCUCAGCGAAAUCAAGAUGGUGGUCGUCUUCUGCCACGCCAGAACUAUUUCCCUGGGGUAUUACGAUUCCGAUUCCAGCAAAAUAACUCACCGAAAAAUGGUUGAAUCUACCCGUUUUCUCUCAAAUCCCUCCGUUCUUCUCUUUUUUGUUUGUUUGUUUGUUCUCGACGCGUCUCUCUCCCAAUCUCUCGCUCUUCGUUUCUCCUCUCUCUCUGUGUUACUCUCUCUCUUAUCCUCUCCAGCAGCUCAAUGUCUCCCUUUGGAUCCUUUUCUCGACUAUCUCGAUCUCCACCUCCUCUAUUCUAUUUCUCAACCCAUGUGUGUGUAGUGUAUCUGGGUCAGUGAGUGAGGGAAAUUGUGUGUGGGUGUGAGUCUUUUUCUGCCGGUGAGAGAGGAUCUGCGUAUAUAUGAUAGUGUCUAUCCCAUAUAUAUGGAGAAUUAUGAAUUGUGUGUCAAUUUGAAUAUUGUUUUAUUUUUUGGUCAGUAUCUUGUGCGUCUGUGUGCUGUGUAGUGUUGUGUGAAUAUGAUCUUUGAGUGUGUCUUGUGAGUGAAGGUUAGUGAGAAUUGUGGAGAAGAUGAUGGAUAAUGGUGCGAAGAAGAAGAAAAGGAGAAGAGAAAAAAAAUGGCGUUCCCCCCUUUUCCUAUGUGCGUCCCCUUUGUUAUAUAUAAUGGAAAAAGAAUGAGUACUACCCUUCGUGGAAGGUUCCUCUUAUUUUUGUUUUUAGUCCAUGUUUCUUUCUUUGUGGACAAGAAAAAGAGAGGGUGAGGUGUUGUUUUUUAAUUGGAGGGGUAAGGGUUAGGUGUCUUAUUUUAAUUGAAAGGGUUGUUAGGAUAUUUAAAAGAAAUAAAGUUUGUUAGGGAUUUUGUUGAGAGUUUUUUUUAUUUUUGUGGAAUGUAAUUACAUGGGUAGGGUAAGGUAAAAAUGGGUAAAAUGAUAUCGGGGAGGGACGAAAUUAUGUGUCUACAUCAUGCCCCCUUUGAAUGUAAGCACGCAGUAUUUUCAGACAAAAAAGUAAACAACGAGAUCGGAUUUUGUCCCGAUCUUUAUUCAAAGAGAGGAGUAAAAGCAAGAAGGACAAUCGAAUCUUGUUGGACACCCUAUCUACCCAAGUCAUGAGGAAGUCACAAGUAUCUAAAGGGUUAGAAGAGAAGUGGACUAUACCGAGUUGGAGAGUCGAGUGAGGUUCCAUCGAGGUUCCGGUUCGCGGCUUUGUCAUUACAUCAAAAAUAAAAAUUACAAGCUAAAAAAAAAUGAAAUUACAAAAUCCUAUCUAUAAUGGAAAAAGAAUGAGUAUUAUCCUUCCUGGAAGGUUCCUCUUAUUUUUGUUUUUAGUCCAUGUUUCUUUAUUUGUGGACAAGAAAAAAAGAGGGUGAGGUGUUGUUUUUUAAUUAGAGGGGUAAGGGUUAGGUGUCUUAUUUUAAUUGAAAGGGUUGUUAGGAUAUUUAAAAGAAAUAAAGUUUGUCAGUGAUUUUGUUGAGAGUUUUUUUUAUUUUUGUGGAAUGUAAUUACACGGGUAGGGUAAGGUAAAAAUGGGUAAAAUGAUAUCCGGGAGGGACGAAAUUACGUGUCUACAUCAUGCUCCCUUUGAAUGUAAACACGCAGUGUUUCCAGACAAAGAAGUAAACAACGAGACCAGAUUUUGUCCCGAUCUUUAUUCAAAGAGAGAAGUAAAAGCAAGAAGGACAAUCGAAUCCUGUUGGACACCCUAUCUACCCAAGUCAUGAGGAAGUCACAAGUAUCUAAAGGGUUGGAAGAGAAGUGGACUAUACCGAGUUGGAGAGUUGAGUGAGGUUCCAUCGAGGUUCCGGUUCGCGGAUUUGUCAUUACAUCAAAAAUGAAAAUUGCAAGUUAAAAAAAAAUGAAAUUACAAAAUCCUAUCUAUACAGCUUCUGUUGGCUCUUGACUCGACUUUUAUCACCCUAUUCUUCAGGCGGGCUCCUGACUUGCAAUUUCUUCAACUUCUUACUUGCCUUUCAAUUUCUUCACCCUGUUCUUCAGGUGGGCUCCUGACUAGCUAUUUCAUCACCCUAUUCUUCAGGCGGGUCCCUGAAACCCAAAAUUAAAACUAGAAAAAAAAUUAUUCCAAAUAAAAACUAUAGUAAAGUAGUAUUUCAUUUUUGAAAGCGUUGUCCCAUUUUCCAGGAGGGUCCUGAACAGAAAGUAAAGUCCCAUUUUUCAGGAGGGUCCUAAACAUAAAAUAAAAUCCCAUUUUUCAAGAGGGUCUUGAGCAGAAGGCAAAGUCCUAUUUUUCAGGAGGGUCCUGAGUAUAAGGUAGAACCCCAUUUUUUAGGAGGGUCCUGAACAGAAAGUAAAAUCUCAUUAUUUAGGAGGGUCCUAAACAGAAAGUAAAUUCUCAUUUUUCAGGAGGGUCCUGAACAGAAAGUAAAACAGAAAGUAAAAUCCCAUUUUUCAGGAGGGUCCUGAGCAGAAAGUAAAAUCCCAUUUUCCAGGAAGGUCCUGAGCAGAAAAUAAAGACUCAUUUUUCAGGAGGGUCCUGAGCAUAAAGUAAAAUCCCAUUUUUCAGGAGGGUCCUGAACAGAAAGUAAAAUCUCAUUUUUCAGGAGGGUCCUAAGCAGAAAAUAAAGUCCCAUUUUUCAGGAGGGUCCUGAGCAGAAAGUAAAAUCUCAUUUUUCAGGAGGGUCCUGAGCAGAAAAAAUAAAGUUCCAUUUUUCAGGAUGGUCCUGAACAGAAAGUAAAAUCUCAUUUUUCAAGAGGGUUUCGAACAGAAAGUAAAGUCCCAUUUUUCAGGAGGAUCCUAAACAUAAAGUAAAAUUUCAUUUUUCAAGUGGGUCCUGAGUAGAAGACAAAGUCCCAUUUUUCAGGAGGGUCCUGAGCAUAAAGUAGAACCCCUUUUUUCAGGAGGGUCCUGAACAGAAAGUAAAAUCUCAUUUUUCAGGAGGGUCAUGAACAGAAAGUAAAUUUCCAUUUUUCAGGAGGCUCCUGAACAGAAAGUAAAGUCCCAUUUUUCAGGAGGGUCCUGAAUUGAAAGUAAAAUCCCAUUUUUCAGGAGGGUCCUGAGCAGAAAGUAAAAUCCCAUUUUUCAGGAGGGUCCUGAACAGAAAGUAAAAUCUUAUUUUUCAGGAGGGUCCUGAGCGGAAAAUAAAUUUCCAUUUUUUAGGAGGGUUCUGAGCAUAAAGUAAAAUCCCAUUUUUUAGGAGGGUCCUGAACAUAAAGUAAAAUCCCAUUUUUCAGGAGGGUCCUAAACAGAAAGUAAAUUCCCAUUUUUCAGAAGGGUCCUGAACAGAAAGUAAAGUCCUAUUUUUCAGGAGGGUCCUGAGUAGAAAGUAAAAUCCCAUUUUUCAGAAGGGUCCUAAGCAGAAAAUAAAGUCCCAUUUUUCAGGAGGGUCCUGAGCAAAAAGUAAAAUCCCACGGAUGUGCAUUUCCAAUGGUAGCUGAAUUAAGUGAAGCGAAUUUGCCCCUAUUUCAACAAAGAAAAUUUGUCAGUUAAAAACUUAGUGGUGGCUUGCAGCUCUUGGCUUCUCAGGUAUUUGCCCCAGCACUCCUUCCUUUUAUCUUUGUUCCAAAUCGCUGACACUUGCCCUGUCUUACCGCAUCAUUGACCUGGACCCAGAUUGAGAGAAAUGAGUUCUGACUCGAACAAUGGGUUUCCAUUUUACCAUGCCUCUGAGGUGCACCCUUUUCCCAAAUUUGAAUGCUUCCACGAAUCCAACAGCCUGUUGGUGGAUAGACUUCCUUUACUUUGCGUUGAAUUACGAUCAUAUUUCUUUCAUGUGCUGGUCCUUGGUUUUUCCUCAUAUAAUUGGAAAGACUAGUAGUAAAUUUUGAAAUCCUUUCUCGCUUGUUUUGACACAGACUUGACUUAAAAUGUAAAGAAAUGAUGGUGACUUUUAUAUUGAUAAAUGACAUAAAAAGACAAAAAGCUUGAAUAUGUAAAUGAAAGAAAAGGGCAACGUCCCAUAUUAAAAAAAAAACCUUAUCUGAAUACGGUAACCCACUCCAAUGAGUAUGACAUGCCUUUUGGAUUACGCUGCCUGAUCUUCCUAUCUAAACUCCCCAUUUGUUGUUGAGUUCGUGCCUUUGCCGCUGAGCCUCUUCUUCAAAUCCAUUGGACUCAUACAUCACAUUCAAUUGACGACAUCUUAAAAGACUUUCGCCUACAUAUCUCUUUCUUUUCGCUUUUUACUUUUCUCUUGAACUCGCCAUCGCCUUACGGUGCCCGUGAGGGUUUUCACCAGUAAGACUCUCUUAUUUUUAUUUCUCUCCACUCACCAUCGCCUUUUGGUGCCUGCGAGGUUUUUCACCAAUAAGACUCUCUCAUUUUCAUUUCUCUCAACUCACCAUCGCCUUAUGAUGCCCACGGGGGUUUUCACCAAUAAGACUCUCAUUUUGUAUUUCUUUCUUGAUUUCUUAUGUUGAGGGAGACACGUGGUACCUCACAAUGUAUCAUCAUAUCCGUUGCAUGCUUAGCCUUAACAUUAUCAAAAAUUGAUCUGAAGGACUUUCUUUNNNNN